UACACACACUUUUACACAUAAGCACACUGCAUCCACUACUGACACUGCAUUUACUAAUCAAAUACUCUCUCUCUCACACUCACUCACUCUUGAAAACAUUAGAAAAAUCUGACUGGCAUGAAUAUUUUCUGGAUUUACCACUUAAUAAAAAAGAUUUUCAAAAAAUCGGCCUGGAAGUUCAGAUUAUCAGUAUCGGCUCCAAAAAAAUCAAUAUCGGUCGAUCCCUACCUGUGCAGCACUGCCCCAGGAAGCAUCUCUAGUAGCCAUCUGAGGAAUGGGCAGUGGAGUUAUCUCUAGGCUGUAAUGUAAACACUGCAUUUUCUCUGAAAAGACCGUGUUUACUGCAAAAAGAGAAUGAUUCUACUCACCAGAACAAAUACAAUAAGCU